CUUCAGUCUGGCGCGGGACGCGUAACGGAGCGCACGUCGCCCGUCCAAACAUUCUCCUCGUCCAAACCGCGUGUUGAAAACAAAGAUUGCUAAAUUAAAUUGCUAGUGGAAACCUAUUUGGUGGGUAGUGUUUUGUUCCUUACUCAGUGACGUCAUAAUCGUGAGCUUAAGUUCGGAGGCGAUUGUAUCUGAAUGUUCGAGGGCUAAACAGUAUUUUCAGUGGAAGGUAACACAACGUAGCCAAGAGAUGCCGAACAUGUUCGAAGCCACAAACGAAGCAGGAGUGUCCCAAAACUAACUGCCAUGACAUCCGAGGAGCCGAUAGAUGUUGUCGCCAAAAAAGACUCCAAAAAGACCGAUGAGUGCGCCAACUUCGAAAUACCAGAAAACAAAAAAGACAAAAGCGUAGUCGAUCCAAAACAGAAACGAUCACAAGAACUCAUGAGGCUGGUCUACGAACUACCCGAUGACAUAAAGAACCCAGAAAUAAUAGAAAACAACAAUAUGUUGAAGGAAAACCCACCAAUUACGAUAGUGGAGAUCACAGAACAGAAUGGUUGUGCCGAGUUAAAUGCUACUCAAUGUGAUAACGAUUAUUUUAACGUAGACGGCAGUCCAAAGGACUUAGGCAAUAAGGUGGUAUACGACGUGCUAGCUACUAAUGAACUGAUUAUGCACUGUGCUGAAGAAUUCAAGGAGGUUAUAGACAGAUCAUCACCUGAUGAUUGUACAGAUGAAGAUUUGCUAGAAUUGAAGAAGUUACUAGAAGGAAAGCCGAAGGUGUUGGAUAGGUAUAUUCGGGAGUGUGCGACGACGGAUGAGGUGACGAGGCUCCAUAGUUUGACAUCUUCGGGGCCGCUAUCUCCGAGGCCACAUCAUGAGGCGAGGAGUACAUCGGUGACAUCAGACUUAUUCCAGCUAUGGCUGUCUUCAUCUCCAGUGAAGAGGUCGAGAUCUCCGAGCUGCUCAGCACAGAAGCAGCUGGAUGAGGCGGACCUGUUCAUGGACCUCAUCAAGGACGUCGCCAACGAACUGGACAUUGACGUGCUUUGUCACAAGAUCCUGGUAAACGUGUGCCUGCUAACAUCAGCGGACCGAGGCAGCUUGUUCCUGGCGAAGGGUGUACCCCCCAACCGAUACCUGCAGGCGAAACUCUUCGAUGUCACCAGGGACACAGAACUAAACGACGCACUCCGGACGGCGCGCUCGCAGGAGAUAAAGAUCUCCUUCGGCGUCGGAGUGGCAGGGCUGGCAGCGCAGACCAAACAUCCCAUCAACAUCAAGAACGCUUAUGCAGACCCUAGGUUCAACAGCGAGAUCGACGCUCGCACGGGCUACAAGACUGAGCUGAUCCUCUGCAUGCCCAUCUGCAACUACGAGGGCGACGUCGUCGGCGUCGCGCAGAUUAUCAACAAGACUGAUGGAUCCAAAGAAUUCUCCCCCCGAGACGUGGAAGUAUUUCGCCGGUACCUCACUUUCUGCGGCAUCGGCAUUCAAAACGCGCAGCUCUUCGAGUCCUCAGUCCUAGAGUACAAGAGAAACCAGAUCCUGCUGGCGCUGGCCAGGAGUAUAUUUGAGGAGCAGAGCAACCUCGAGUGCUUGGUCACCAAGAUCAUGAAGGAGGCGAGAGAGUUGCUCAAGUGCGAGAAGUGUGCCGUCUUUAUAUCUGAUACGGAUCAUUGUGAAUCGAGCCACUUAGAGCGCAUAGUCCAACGCCCCGGCGGUCAGAAGUCGUCACUCCCAGCACUGCCACCACCAGCGCCGACGCGCUUCCACACGCUGUUCGAGCUCGGCGCGCAGCAGUCGCGCACCACGCUCACGCACCGCCACGACUGCCGCUCUACCCUCGCCAGCAUCGCGCUAGCGGUAGCCCAAUCAAACAAAGCGCUGAACAUAUCGGACGUGGCGGAGUGGCGCCGCGAGAACAACAUGGUGGUGCGUGACGUCACGCUGGACGACGCCGCCAACGUCCGCACAAUGCUCUGCAUGCCCAUCGUUAACGCUAACAAAGACGUUAUUGGCGUCGCUCAGCUUAUUAAUAAGGAGAACGGGUGUCAGUUCACGGACGGCGACAUCUCGAUAUUCGAAGCGUUCGCCAUAUUCUGUGGUCUGGGUAUACACAACACGCAGAUGUAUGAGAACGCUUGUAAACUUAUGGCUAAACAGAAGGUGGCGCUGGAGUGCUUGUCGUACCACGCGACAGCCUCCACAGAGGACACGAGCAAGCUUUGCAGCGACAACAUCCCCUCCGCUGAGAUAUACAACCUGUACAGCUUUCAGUUUCACGACUUCGAUCUAUCAGACGAGGACACGUGCAGAGCGACACUGCGCAUGUUCCUACAAUGCAACCUAGUCGAGAAGUUCCACAUUCCUUAUGACGUCCUCUGCCGCUGGAUAUUAAGCGUCAAAAAAAACUACCGACCAGUCAAAUACCACAACUGGAGACACGCACUCAACGUCGCUCAAACAAUGUUCGCGAUGCUGAAAACUGGCAAAAUGGAGCGGUUCAUGUCUGACCUGGAAAUCCUUGGCUUGCUUGUAGCCUGUCUAUGCCAUGACCUGGACCAUAGGGGGACAAACAACGCGUUUCAGACGAAAACUGAAAGUCCUCUAGCGAUAUUGUACUCGACUUCAACGAUGGAACAUCAUCAUUUCGAUCAGUGUGUCAUGAUUCUUAAUAGUGAGAGCAAUAAUAUUUUCCAGGCGCUAUCCCCAUGCGACUACAAGGACGUGAUGCGCGUGGUGGAGACGGCGAUCCUGUCCACCGACCUCGCCAUGUACUUCAAGAAGCGCGCCAAGUUCCACGAGCUGGUGGAGAACGGCGAGUUCGACUGGCAGAGCCAGGAGAAAAAAGAGUUGCUAUGCGGCAUGAUGAUGACGGCAUGCGACGUGUCAGCGAUCGCCAAGCCGUGGGAGGUGCAGCACAAGGUGGCCAAGCUGGUGGCCGACGAGUUCUUCGACCAGGGAGACCUGGAGAAACUGCAGCUCAACCAGCAGCCUAUCGCUAUGAUGGACAGGGAAAAGAAAGACGAACUCCCACAAAUGCAAGUGGGCUUCAUCGACAUGAUCUGCCUCCCACUAUACAAGGUCUUAGCCGACACAUUCCCCUGGAUCCAGCCGCUGUAUGCUGGCACCCUGGACAACCGCCAGCGCUGGCAGGACCUCGCAGAAAAGGUGGAGAUGGGGCUUACGUGGAUAGACCACGAUACUAUUGAUAAGCCAAUUGAGGAGUUCACUGCACUAAACGAGCCAAUAAAAGACGUGGAGCUAACAGUCCAGACCCUGAACUGUACGAAGCCGAUCCCCGAGAGCAGCAGCAGCAUGGCGCUGGUCAAGCCGCUGAAGACUUCCUUCCACUCCCUGAGGAGAGGGAAGAGCAGCAACUUCACCAACCGCCCCGCCAGGAGUAAACUUACUAGCAUGUUCCAGAUCAAUGUACGCGGCGGCAAGCAGCCGGGAGCCCGAGGCGCUCCCACGCCGGCCGCCGCCCGCGCCGCCCGCCCCGAGCCACACGCAGCCGCACACGCCGCUGCUGACGGACGAGCCUAAAGCCAAGCAUAAGGCUAGGUUGUGCCAGUUGUUGUGACGGUUGAGCUUUAACUGGGGCAGCCAGAAUAGUACAGAGAAACCUGAGAAACUGGACAGAGUGAAGCCGUCCAAAUCGAUUGAUUAGACACAGUGGGGUAACAUUACUGCGGUGUCGCUUUGUAGAAUAUAUGAGAGGACCCGAGAAAAAUAUAUUACAGUCAUUUAUGUUUUCAAAAUAGUUUUCUGUGAAGUUAUUGGUAUAUGAAAGAUUUGGUUACAAUAUAAUUCUUCACAGUGCUUUCACUCUUUACGAUUUUCCGCACGGUUUUUCGUAGGAAGAUGCGUGGCAAUUUUUUUAUCGCUGGGAAUGUGUCGUACGUAAAAAAAUCUUGCGGAAAAUCGGCGGGUUUGAAAGAGCUGUUAGAAGAAACAUUUCAAACUAUCGAUAAAUGAUGAAAAGUCAUAUAAAACUACAAAGCGACGUAACAGGAUAGGGUUGUACUCUCUACUUCGACUCGGUUGAGUCAACGUCGUUUUACUAAUAGUGGUUACCGUUGUACAUUUCUAUUGUUAGAUACAUCAUAUUGAGUAGAUUACAUGGAACUUGUCUGUAGUUUGGCUGAACAUAGUUAUAAAGAUACAGAGAAAAAACCAGAGUUAAAUAUGAAAAAAGCAAACAAAUUGUCCAUAAAAUAAGUGUGUUCAGCAAAACUAAAAAUUUUAGAGAAACAAAAAAAACUAAAAGUAAUUUUUAGUAUUUUAAUCUCUGCGUCUUUUUGACGAUAACAAUGUUUCCUGUAAAGCAAACUCUAGGUAAAUGUUUAUCUAAUUAAAUGUAUUAUUUACAUAGACUGUGAUCUAGUAUUACUUCGCGAUGUUCUAUUUUAAAAAUAACAGGUUUUAUAGAUUCCUUUCUUUUGCAAUUAAGAAACCUUGAGUGAUUUUAGUAUGCAAUAUUUAGAGUUGUGUUGCACUAUUACUAGAUUUAUUUAUGUCAGGUCUUGUAUAGUUCUCGCCAAACUUUUCGUCGAAAACCAUUUUUAAGUAUAAGCAGGUUGUAAAGGUACGCUCGGAAUUUAGCUGCAAGCCGCCAUUAUGUUUGGCGAGAACUGUAGAAGACAGUAAUACAAGAUUGUAUUUCCUAUAACUAGUCCUUGUGACCAAGUUGCUUCCUUCGCUUAGAUUAUGUGAUUCUUCCGUAUAGGUACAAUAAAACAGCUAUUUAUAAUAUUUUUCUAACGUAUUAUUAAGAUCUAUCGACUGUUUAAAUUUUAAAAUAGAAUGAUCGUUUCUUGGCCUGUGAAAAAAUGUGUACUAUGUAACUACUAAGUGUGUAAGGUUUUCGUAUUUAUACAUUAUGAAAGUUCAAUUAAAUUAUUUUUUUAUUUAUCGGAGCUAAAAGUAUUAUGAUGCUAGUCGUGUGUUAUGUUAUGUAGAUAUUUAUAAAUGUUACUGUCGAACGAACAGUCACGUCCAAUUCGCUUAUGAAGCUUAUUUUGUGCAAUAUCGAACGAUUCGAUACAGUCUUAAUCGUAAUUGAGAUUAUUUUUAUUACCAGUACUUUUAAGUCAGCAAUAUUUUUAAUAUUUAAUGAUUUUGGCACAAGAAUGAAGUCGUGAUGUGGUUCGUAAGAACUUAAGUGUCCAUCAAUGAAUUAUUAAUACUUCGUUUGCAUGUUCUAUGCAAUUGCAGCAAUGUAUUGUGAAAAUCUUGAAAAUUGCGUGCAGGAGCCACAAGAUUUUAAAUCUUUUUGGAUUAACAGUUUUAGUAUAAAAAAAAAAAAAUAUUGUAAUAAAACUUCAUACUUUGUAUUUUACUAGUAUGAUUUUGACUAUAAUGUUUAAAAAAGUAAACACAAGUAGAGUUUUUUCUUUAAAAUGUCUUGUAUAGACUUUUUAUAGGAAGGAAAAUAAUAAGAAAGCCUUUAAUACAAUAUAUCGAUGUCAAAUAUUGUGCAAUUUUUACUGUUGUUAUAAUAGUUUAGAUAUCUGCUUUAACAUUGGCAAAAUUAAAAUAAGUCCACACCCGUCAGUACUAACAGUCACUUAUGUGAAAGUAGUGUUCAUGUAUUAUGCAAUUUUAGUUGUAUUAAUGGACUCACGUUUCAGUUCUUCGUCUAUGUUUAUCCGUUUCUUUGAUAAUUAUUACCGAUUCUUUGAAUCUUUCAGCAGUAUCUAUUGAUAUAUACAAGUUCAAUAUUGUACAAAAAAGGUUAGUAAUUUUGGAGCUUAUUUUAAUUUUGCAAAUGUGAAGUCACAUAGUCCAGAUGUUGUGAAAUAGACUAUAUUUAAUAUAAUUAAUAGUAUUACGACUGUUCUUUACUAACUUGAUAUCAAACAUUUUCUUUUAUUUUCAUAAUAAUAGACAUUUUUUGAACUCCGUUUAGAAUUUAUGAAGUAGUUAAUCAUGUAAACAAUUAAAUUGUUUCUUAUAUUUUUUCCAAAGAUGGGUAAUACGCCUGACAGGUUUUGUACAAAAGUUACCUACAUAAUAACAAAUUAUUAUUUAAUUUAAAUUAAUUAUCUUGGUCAUUUGAGAGUUUAUGUUAAAUGUUUUAUUUUUAAUAGAUUUAUUUGCUCAGUAUUAUUUGUUCAAGAAUGUGAGAUCAUAUUUAUUUAUGUAUUUAUUGAUAAAUUCAACUAAUUAUAACAUGAGAAAAGGCGUUGAUUUUACAUUAAGAAUAUAAUUUGAUUUGCUGAGUGAAACAUUUUGGAUGAUAUGCAAAAUGUUUUAACAUUUGGUUGUUUCCAAAAAAGGGUAAUUUGUCCUCGUUUUCUUAAUGUUGGUAAUUUUAAACAUAAUAUUGUUGUAUGUUUUCUAUUAAAUGACAAUAUUCUACUACAUUACUCAGAACAAUAAAUAUUUCUUCGUUAUGAUUCGAUCAAUUUGUAAAAAUACCUACUGAAUGUGUUUCGACGAAUAAAAAUAUUGUGAACAAUA